rnacentral:rRNA from 1 species
UGCAAGUCGAACGAGCGAGAGAGAGCUUGCUUUCUCGAGCGAGUGGCGAACGGGUGAGUAACGCGUGAGGAACCUGCCUCAAAGAGGGGGACAGCAGUUGGAAACGACUGCUAAUACCGCAUAAGCCCACGGUGCCGCAUGGCACAGAGGGAAAAGGAGCAAUCCGCUUUGAGAUGGCCUCGCGUCCGAUUAGCUAGUUGGUGAGGUAACGGCCCACCAAGGCGACGAUCGGUAGCCGGACUGAGAGGUUGAACGGCCACAUUGGGACUGAGACACGGCCCAGACUCCUACGGGAGGCAGCAGUGGGGAAUAUUGCACAAUGGGGGGAACCCUGAUGCAGCGACGCCGCGUGGAGGAAGAAGGUCUUCGGAUUGUAAACUCCUGUUGUUGGGGAAGAUAAUGACGGUACCCAACAAGGAAGUGACGGCUAACUACGUGCCAGCAGCCGCGGUAAAACGUAGGUCACAAGCGUUGUCCGGAAUUACUGGGUGUAAAGGGAGCGCAGGCGGGAAGAC